ensembl:lncRNA
GGCUCAGACCUCGUAACGGGUGGAGGAGAGACCUGAGAAGCCUCGUCCUCUGACUCCGACUCAUUGCUUAAUGGUGUGAGACUGCUGAAUUUGAAUUUUCUUCCAGAAGCCAUGAGAAAAUUGUCCGGCUGCAGGGACUGCAUAAGGCGAUAGUUGUCCUGUAUAUUAUGAGUACAGCGACUGCAAUUAAAUGUCAUAGUGUUAAUGUUACUAUUUAGCUUUGGCUGGUGGAGGUCCUGUAGAAACAUGUCCAGAUAAAGCGUCCGAGGUGAAAAAGUUGAAUGAAAAAGUAGAGCGAGGGGGAAAAAGAAAAAAUAACAGUUAUUAAAAUUUUUGUAACUAAUUUUAGAAAGAAAAAAACAUGAAGUUGGCAGGUAGCAAAGUAACGUUAGCAACAACCCGCACAGCAGCUCAUAAACAAGUCCAUAGCUAGUUGGCAAGCUUGAACUGACCGCAUUUUAACUACUUUGGAGAUAUGAAACAGACAAUCAUAUCAGUAAAAAAGAAUAAAUUCCCAGUUUAUGUUACAAAACCAACUUUAUAAGAGAUUUUAAAAAGAGGUUAUAUUUGACUCAACAUUCCAUGACGUACACAGACGCAUUGUUGGCAGAAUAGAUGGAUGCAGUUCAAUAUAUGAUUCAUAUGAUUCACCAAUACAUUUCUUGGUAGUCCAAAAAAUAUUAUCAGGUUGUAAAUCACAGCUGGCCUGGUACAUUGUUUACAGCCUCCAUUCGGGAUGCAUUGUUUGUAUACAUGACAAAAAAUUUGGGACAAAAACUGAUGAAUUUAUUGUAACUCUGGCUGGGAAUGUCAAAACAUUCAAAAAAAUCCUCAGAGUGAGGUGUUCUCAAGCUAGCCAACUUUAGCCAGUUAGUUUGGUUGCUUGGUUGCAGACAAGCUGCAGAAGAACAAGUAGGCUACAAUUCCUAAUUUUAAUUAUCCAGCUAACCAGAGAGUUGUGAACAGGCACACACUUUAUUUAGGCAGAGGCAAUAAAACAGACAGAUGCCACUGCGUCAAAACCUCCAGCCAAAGGUAAAAGUGCAAGGUGCGAAACAGUCACCAAAACAGUCACCAGAUGUUUUACAAUAAACAUCCUUCAUGAAAAUACCAUGGAAUAACGGGAAAAAACCCAGCCUGGCGCGUACACGCAAAACACGUAACAAAUCCAAUUUCACACAAAGACAUGGGGGGAACAGAGGAAUAAAUACAUGCAGUGUGAUUAGGGAAUGUAAACCAGGUGUGCACGGAACAAGACAAAACAAAUGGAACAAUGAAAAAAUGAGCGGCGAUGGCUAGAAAGCCGGUGACAUCGAUCGCCGCCCAAACAAGGAGAGGAGCCGACUUCGGAAGAAGUCGUGACAUUGAGAGGGUUAUCUCAUGCUCCUUCGUUAGAUUUGAGCUAAUAUCGUUCUGGCUAACAUUAGUUGUUGAUCUUGUGUCACGCCUGCCCCCGCUCUUCCCCCCCUGGCGCUCGAGGGUGCCAGGCUCCCCUGCAUUACACACUCCUGCCACCAUCAUUAUGCACACCUGCCUUCUUUCGUCACGCGCAUCAGCGAUUCAUUGGACUCACCUGGGCUGUAUCACCUGUUUUAUUACCUCCCCUAUAUCUGUCUGUUCCGCAGCUCCGUCCCCUACUUCUGCAUUGAUUGUUGUCUGUCUUUGUGUUACCAGUGUGCUGACGCUGUUCCUAUCAUGUUCCAUGUCUGUUCCAAUUAAAUGUUGACCCCACGUACCUGCUUCUCUCCUCCAGUGUCGGUCCUUCUAUCUUGUUGUUGUUGAAGCGAUUAACUCAGGGAGAGCCUACCUUUUCAUGGUUGUUUAAUCAAUAGGACUGUAAAGUCCCAAAAUGUCAAAUUAGCAAAUGUAUUAAAAUGAUCUAAAGUCACACUUUUGCAACUGCCUGUAAACACACAGUCCAGUUCAAAGUGAAGGAUGACAGGCUUUUUUUUUUUUUUUACAUGAAGGCCUACUGUAGCUCUGAUUGGCUAUGGUGCACCUGUCUGCGUAGACUCCGGUCCUGGGUGAGACAGAUGUUUUUAUUAGGUUUUAUUUCCUGCAGUGUCUAUUAAUUGUCCAAUUGCAUGGCCGUUUUCCCACUCUAUAUUGCUAUAGAAUUUUUAAAAAUGCCUUAGUACACGUCAUUCCCAAAUAUUCUAAGUAUGUAUGAUAAUGGGAAAAUGACCAAAUUGUUUUUAAAAGUAUCAUAUUCUUCCUGGGGUUUGUAUAUGAACAGAUUUUUAAAAUAAGAUUACAUGUUGCUAAAAUGCUGUCAGUUCCACUUUUAAACUAUCCAUUUUGACUUUCUACUUAAAUUGUGUUAAUGUGGUCUACCACCGUAGACAAACCGGCCACGCUCCAUCAUGCUCUAAUAGAUUUUGGCCCCCCACACUAAACGCGAUCACGACACUCAGGUUGAAAUAUCAAAACAAACUCUGAACCAAUUAUAUUAAUUUGGGGACAGGUAGAAAAGCAUUAAACAUUUAUGGAAAUUUAGUUAGCUUGCAGUUACUAGCUAAUUUGUCCUAUUUAGCUAGCUUGCUGUUGCUAGCUAAUUUGUCCUGGGAUAUAAACGUUGAGUUGUUAUUUUACCUGAAAUGCACAAGGUCCUCUACUCCGACAAUUAAUCCACACAUAAAAUGGUCGACUGAAUUGUUUCUAGGCAUCUCUCCUCCUUCCAGGCUUUUUCUUCUUUGGAAUUUAUAUGGCGAUUGGCAUCAAACUUUCAUAGUUACUUCGACGACCGACCGAACUCAGUUCAUAUUUCAAUCACCCACGUGGGUAUAACCAAUGAGGAGAUGGCACGUGGGUAUCUGCUUCUAUAAACCAAUGAGGAGAUGGGAGAGGCAGGACUUGCACUGCGUUCAGGGUCACAAAUAAAACUAUCUUCUAUUUUAGCACUUGGCAAUGCAGAUGCUCGUUGGCAGCGCUCGAGCAGUGUUGGUGCAAUAAUUGAAUAACAUCUAUGUUUGCAUUGUUUUUUUGCGACGCGAGCGGUGUGGUCAGCAUGUAAGGCACUGCAUCUCAGUGCGAGAGGCAUCACUACAGACCCUGGUUCGAUUCCAGGCUGUAUCACAACCGGCAGUGAUUGGGAGUCCCAUAGGGCGGUGCACAAUUGGUCCAGCGUUGUCCGGGUUAGGGUUUGGCCGGGUUAGGCCGUCAUUGUAAUUAAGAAUUUGUUCUUAGCUGAUUUGCCUAGUUAAAUAAAGGUUAAAAAUACAAAUGUACGUUAUGUCUUUUUCCCCCAUUGCAAGAAUACUAGAGGGUGCAUGGUCCUGAGAGUGCUUCUCCCACCACCAAUAUACCGAAUGCAGGUACUAAAAAAACAUGAUCCUGAGAGGGUUUUUCACACCACCAGUGUAAUGACUUGGAAAGAAGACUGCCCACCCAAGCAUUGAUGAGGCCUGAAAGUCAUAAUGUAGCGCUGGAAUCAAUAUGGCUGAAUAUCUCUACCAGGUGACCAAAAAAACAAGAGACCCCAAACCUUAGUUCAGACUCUCUGGAAUAUUGUAUCUACUCCCUGGCAUUCACCAUCAUGAAUGGACAGGCUCUGGAGCAGAAGACAUUAUGUUACGUUGUUGUUUUACACAAAUUCCUAUUGGAAAUGGAUACCUGGUAGGGGUUGUGGGUGUAGAGGGUAAAGUGUUUCCUUUCCUUCAGCCCAUUUCCUCAGCUUUAAUUUGUAGGGCUGCUGUGAUUUUCAAAUGAUGGAUUGUGUUUGUAAAGUUUCUGUUUAUUUGUGUGUUGCUUAUUUGUUUCUUUUGCAUUACUUCAUUUUGUAGCUGAAAUUAAUAUAUGAAAAUAAACUUUUGGUAUUUUAUCUACAA